AUUGAACGCUGGCGGCAUGCCUUACACAUGCAAGUCGAACGGCAGCACGGGAGCAAUCCUGGUGGCGAGUGGCGAACGGGUGAGUAAUAUAUCGGAACGUGCCCAGUCGUGGGGAUAACGUAGCGAAAGCUACGCUAAUACCGCAUACGAUCUAUGGAUGAAAGCGGGGGAUCGCAAGACCUCGCGCGAUUGGAGCGGCCGAUAUCAGAUUAGGUAGUUGGUGAGGUAAAGGCUCACCAAGCCGACGAUCUGUAGCUGGUCUGAGAGGACGACCAGCCACACUGGGACUGAGACACGGCCCAGACUCCCUACGGGAGGCAGCAGUGGGGAAUUUUGGACAAUGGCGCAAGCCUGAUCCAGCAAUGCCGCGU
rnacentral:rRNA from 1 species